CCUACGGGAGGCAGCAGUGGGGGAUAUUGCACAAUGGGGGGAACCCUGAUGCAGCGACGCCGCGUGGGUGAAGGAGCGUUUCGGCGCGUAAAGCCCUAUCGGCAGGGAAGAAGGAGGACGGUACCUGAAUAAGAAGCCCCGGCUAACUACGUGCCAGCAGCCGCGGUAAUCCGUAGGGGGCAAGCGUGAUCCGGAUUUACUGGGUGUAAAGGGGGCGCAGACGGCAGCGCAAGCCAGGAGUGAAAGCCCGGGGCCCAACCCCGGGACUGCUCUUGGAACUGCGCGGCGGGAGUGCAGGAGGGGCAGGCGGAAUUCCUGGUGUAGCGGUGAAAUGCGUAGAUAUCAGGAGGAACACCGGUGGCGAAGGCGGCCUGCUGGACUGCGACUGACGUUGAGGCCCGAAAGCGUGGGGAGCAAACAGGAUUAGAUACCCUUGUAGUC
rnacentral:rRNA from 1 species